UCAAGUGAACAAGAGCAUGUGGUGGAUGCCUUGGCGAUGAUAGGCGACGAAAGACGUGGUAGCCUGCGAAAAGCUUCGGGGAGCUGGCAAACAAGCAUUGAUCCGGAGACCUCUGAAUGGGGAAACCCACCCGCAAGGGUAUCGGCACCUGAAUACAUAGGGUGCACGAGGCAAACCAGGGGAACUGAACCAUCUCAGUACCCUGAGGAAAAGACAUCAACCGAGAUUGCGAAAGUAGUGGCGAGCGAAAUCGCAAGAGCCUUCUAGAGAUAGCACGAGCAUUAGCAAAGCGGCAUGGAAAGGCCGGCCAAAGAGGGUGAUAGCCCCGUAUGCGAAAAUGCACGUGUGGUACCAGGCUAGAGACAAGUAGGGCGGGGCACGAGAAACCCUGUCUGAACAUGGGGGGACCAUCCUCCAAGGCUAAAUACUCAUCAUCGACCGAUAGUGAACCAGUACCGUGAGGGAAAGGCGAAAAGAACCCCGGGAGGGGAGUGAAAUAGAUCCUGAAACCGCAUGCUUACAAAAAGUCGGAGCCUCGCAAGGGGUGACGGCGUACCUUUUGUAUAAUGGGUCAGCGACUUACAUUCAGUGGCAAGCUUAACCGAAUAGGGAAGGCGCAGGGAAACCGAGUCCGAACAGGGCGAAUCAGUCGCUGGGUGUAGACCCGAAACCAAGUGAUCUAUCCAUGGCCAGGAUGAAGGUGUUGUAACAGGCACUGGAGGUCCGAACCGACUAGUGUUGCAAAAUUAGCGGAUGAGCUGUGGAUAGGGGUGAAAGGCUAAACAAACUUGGAAAUAGCUGGUUCUCUCCGAAAACUAUUUAGGUAGUGCCUCAAGUAUUACCUGCGGGGGUAGAGCACUGUUUUGGCUAGGGGGUCAUGGCGACUUACCAAACCAAGGCAAACUCCGAAUACUGCAGAGUACAGCUUGGGAGACAGAGCACCGGGUGCUAACGUCCGGACUCAAGAGGGAAACAACCCAGACCGCCAGCUAAGGUCCCUAAAAUUGGCUAAGUGGGAAACGAAGUGGGAAGGCUAAAACAGUCAGGAUGUUGGCUUAGAAGCAGCCAUCAUUUAAAGAAAGCGUAAUAGCUCACUGAUCGAGUCGUCCUGCGCGGAAGAUGUAACGGGGCUAAGCCAGUUACCGAAGCUGCGGAUGCACAGUUUACUGUGCGUGGUAGGAGAGCGUUGUGUAAGCCUGUGAAGGUGUCUGGUGACGGAUGCUGGAGGUAUCACAAGUGCGAAUGCUGACAUGAGUAGCGUUAAAGCGGGUGAAAAGCCCGCUCGCCGUAAGCGCAAGGUUUCCUACGCAACGUUCAUCGGCGUAGGGUGAGUCGGCCCCUAAGGCGAGGCAGAGAUGCGUAGCUGAUGGGAAACGGGUCAAUAUUCCCGUACCGAUGUGUAGUGCGAUGUGGGGACGAAGAAGGUUAGCUCAGCCGGGUGUUGGACAUCCCGGUUCAAGCCUGUAGUCGUGGUCUCUAGGCAAAUCCGGAGAUCUGAGAUGAGGGGUGAUAACGAGGCGGCUUGCCGCCGAAGUGAGUGAUACCCAGCUUCCAGGAAAAGCCACUAAGCUUCAGCUGCACACGACCGUACCGCAAACCGACACUGGUGCGCGAGAUGAGUAUUCUAAGGCGCUUGAGAGAACUGCGGAGAAGGAACUCGGCAAAUUGAUACCGUAACUUCGGGAGAAGGUAUGCCGCAAGUAGGUGAACUUGUACAAAGGGAGCCCAAAGCGGUUGCAAAAAAUCGGUGGCUGCGACUGUUUAAUAAAAACACAGCACUCUGCAAAGACGAAAGUCGACGUAUAGGGUGUGACGCCUGCCCGGUGCUGGAAGAUUAAAUGAUGGGGUGCAAGCUCUUGAUUGAAGUCCCAGUAAACGGCGGCCGUAACUAUAACGGUCCUAAGGUAGCGAAAUUCCUUGUCGGGUAAGUUCCGACCUG
rnacentral:rRNA from 1 species